CCGCGUCACUGCGUGGGGCCGCCCACACAGAGGGGGGGGAGGACGGGGGGGGGAGCGGCGAUGGGACCCAUAAGUGUGGGGCGGGGGGUGCCCGAAUGGCUGCCCGUAAAGGCGCAGCGAAGCGCGGAACUGUGGGGCAAAAAGGUCCCCGAGUGGCCCCGGUGAGCCCACGGAGAGCCCCAUAAGUGUGGGGCGGGAGGAGCCCGGGUGGCGCACAUCAACCCACGGCAGAGCCCACAGGUGUGGGGCAGAAGGUCCCCAAGAGGCCCCCGUGAGCCCAUAGGAAACCCCACAAAUGUGGGGCAGAAGAUCUCCAAUUGACCCCAGCGGGCUCACGGUGAACCCCACAAGUGUGGGGCAGAAGGUCCCCAAGAGACCCCCGUGAGCCCAUAGGAAACCCCACAAGUGUGGGGCAGCAGCUCUCCAAGUGACCCCCAUAAACCCAUGGCAAACCCCAUAAAUGUGGGGCAGAGCAUCUCCAACAGACCCCCACGAACCCACAGCAAUCUCCAUAAGUGUGGGGCAGAAGGUCCCCAGGUGACCCCCGUGAGCCCAUAUGGAACCCCACAGAUGUGGGGCAGAACAUCUCCAACAGACCCCCAUCAACCCACAGCAAACCCCACAAGUGUGGGGCAGAAGGUCCCCAAGAGACCCCCGUGAGCCCAUAGGAAACCCCACAAGUGUGGGGCAGCAGCUCUCCAAGUGACCCCCAUAAACCCAUGGCAAACCCCAUAAAUGUGGGGCAGAGCAUCUCCAACAGACCCCCACGAACCCACAGCAAUCUCCAUAAGUGUGGGGCAGAAGGUCCCCAGGUGACCCCCGUGAGCCCAUAUGGAACCCCACAGAUGUGGGGCAGAACAUCUCCAACAGACCCCCAUCAACCCACAGCAAACCCCACAAGUGUGGGGCAGAAGGUCCCCAAGAGACCCCCGUGAGCCCAUAGGAAACCCCACAAGUGUGGGGCAGCAGCUCUCCAAGUGACCCCCAUAAACCCAUGGCAAACCCCAUAAAUGUGGGGCAGAGCAUCUCCAACAGACCCCCACGAACCCACAGCAAUCCCCAUAAGUGUGGGGCAGAAGGUCCCCAGGUGACCCCCGUGAGCCCAUAUGGAACCCCACAGAUGUGGGGCAGAACAUCUCCAACAGACCCCCAUCAACCCACAGCAAACCCCACAAGUGUGGGGCAGAAGGUCCCCAAGAGACCCCCGUGAGCCCAUAGGAAACCCCACAAGUGUGGGGCAGCAGCUCUCCAAGUGACCCCCAUAAACCCAUGGCAAACCCCAUAAAUGUGGGGCAGAGCAUCUCCAACAGACCCCCACGAACCCACAGCAAUCCCCAUAAGUGUGGGGCAGAAGGUCCCCAAGAGACCCCCGUGAGCCCAUAGGAAACCCCACAAGUGUGGGGCAGCAGCUCUCCAAGUGACCCCCAUAAACCCAUGGCAAACCCCAUAAAUGUGGGGCAGAGCAUCUCCAACAGACCCCCACGAACCCACAGCAAUCCCCAUAAGUGUGGGGCAGAAGGUCCCCAGGUGACCCCCGUGAGCCCAUAGGGAACCCCAUAAGUGUGGGGCAGCAGCUCUCCAAGUGACCCCCAUAAACCCUGGGAAACCCCAUAAAUGUGGGGCAGAACAUCUCCAACAGACCCCCACGAACCCACAGCAAUCCCCAUAAGUGUGGGGCAGAAGGUCCCCAGGUGACCCCUAUGAGCCCACAUGGAACCCCACAGAUGUGGGGCAGAAGAUCUCCAAUUGACCCCAGUGGGCUCACGGUGAACCCCAUAAGUGUGGGGCAGGCGGUCCCCAAGUGAUCCCCCAUAUCCUGCCCAGUACCCCCCAGUAUCCCACCCCCAUAUCUCCCAGUAUCCUCCAAUAUCUUCCAGUAUCCCCCACUAUCCCCCAAUAUCUCCCAGUAUCCCCCAGUUUCCCUCAUUAUCUCCCAGUACCCCCCAGUAUCCCCCAGUAUCCCUCAUUAUCUCCCAGUAUCUCCCAGUAUCCCCCAGUAUCCCCCAUUAUCUCCCAGUAUCCCACCCCAGUAUCUCUCAAUAUCUCCCAAUAUCUCCCAGUAUCCCACCCCAGUAUCUCCCAGUAUCCCCCAAUAUCUUCCAGUAUCCCCCAGUACCCUCAAUAUCUCCCAGUAUCCCACCCCAAUAUCCCCAGUAUCCCCCAGUAUCUCCCAAUAUCUCCCA
ensembl:lncRNA